GCGUUGUUUGAAAGGAGAGAAGGUUAGCGCUCCCUUGACAAGGACGGAAGAGGUUCUAGUGACCUUCAGCACACUCUCUCGUCAUCUUUCAUGUGUUUAU